AGUGAACGCUGGCGGUAGGCCUAACACAUGCAAGUCGAACGGCAGCACAGUAAGAGCUUGCUCUUACGGGUGGCGAGUGGCGGACGGGUGAGGAAUACAGCGGAAUCUACUUUUUCGUGGGGGAUAACGUAGGGAAACUUACGCUAAUACCGCAUACGACCUACGGGUGAAAGCAGGGGAUCUUCGGACCUUGCGCGAUUGAAUGAGCCGAUGUCGGAUUAGCUAGUUGGCGGGGUAAAGGCCCACCAAGGCGACGAUCCGUAGCUGGUCUGAGAGGAUGAUCAGCCACACUGGAACUGAGACACGGUCCAGACUCCUACGGGAGGCAGCAGUGGGGAAUAUUGGACAAUGGGCGCAAGCCUGAUCCAGCCAUACCGCGUGGGUGAAGAAGGCAUUCGGGUUGUAAAGCCCUUUUGUUGGGAAAGAAAAGCAGCAGGUUAAUACCCCGCUGUUAUGACGGUACCCAAAGAAUAAGCACCGGCUAACUUCGUG
rnacentral:rRNA from 1 species